AAUUUUCCGUCGGUCUUAGUACACGAUGUAACUACAGAAGAGUCAAGUUUUAAAUAGGAAAAAUAUUGAAACUCUUUGGUCAUUUUUUAACGAGAUGCUAACGGUCUAAUCAGAUUCAAUGAAAUAUGCUAAGCUAUGCUAAAAGUGGUACCGCCAGACCCGGAGAUUGGCUGAAUGGAUUCGAAAACGGUAAAACUCAACUGUUUAACUCUAGGGGAGUUGGAAAAUGAGCCUAUUUUCAAAAAAAGUGGAGUGUUCCUUUAAAUCAUGCAGAGAGAUUUCCAAGGCAGAUGAAGAAGUUGCAGAGACAACCAGUACCUUGACCUUACCAUCCCUACUGUAUUUCUUUCAAAACGGUCAUGUUGUAAGCCAUCCACUUUGACAGUUGUUUCAACAAGAGGUUGAAAGUCAUGCAUCGUUACUAUUCAUUUGAAUCCUGCUGACUAUACACGCUCAAGCCCUGCUAUGUAUUAUUAAAAGUUCUUGUUUUAUGUCAGAAUUAAAAGAUUCAAAGACAUUUGCUACAGUUGAUGAAUACGUUUUAUUAAUUUGAAAGUUUCUGAAUCCUUUGGAAUUAGAAAUAAAAUCUGUAUAAAAUGACUUGGCCAUGAUUAAUUAUAUUGUCUGUUACAUAUGAAGAUCUCAAGUAUGAAGGAGCACAACAUUCAGUACAGAGAAAUAUAUGUCUCUUCCAUAGUUGUGAGAUUGUCUGACUAACAGUUUGAAGCUGGGCUACAAGUUCUGCAGUCACAGGCCAUUCUACUGUAACCACAAUUCCACUGCAUGGCUGGUCAGCGAUGAUGGUUGUUUUCUUUUCUUUUAAAAUAGAUAAAUGUUUAUGGCCAAAUGAUAAAUAUAAGUGCAAUACAUCAGGUGAAAAGUUAGCAUAUAAAUGUGUUCAAUCCAGUCAUCUCUCUGUCAGGACAUAUCAUAUUUUGGUCUGAUAUUUAAAGCAGUCAGCACUGUACAAGAGGUGAUGGUGAAAUAAUGGUGGAGUUAUCUUAGUUGCAUAAUGUUAAUUGCAUCUCUAAUCAGUAUGCCUUCAUAAUUAAUGUUAGUUAAAAAAAAAGUUAAAGGAUUAGUUCACUUCUGAAUGAAAAUUUCCUGAUAAUUUAUUCACCCCCAUGUUAUACAAGAUGUUCACGUCUUUCUUUCUUCAGUCAAAAAGAAAUUAAGGUUUUUGAUGAAAACAUUCCAGGAUUAUUCUCCUUAUAGUGGACUUCAAUGGACUCCACUGUUGAAGGUCAAAAUUACAGAUUCAGUGCAACUUCAAAGGGCUUUAAACGAUACCAGAUGAGGAAUAAGGGUCUUAUCUAGCGAAAUGAUCGGUCAUUUUCUAAAAAAUUCAAAUGUAUAUGCUUUAUAAACACAAAUGAUCGCCUUGCGAGUGCUUCCGCCUUCUGUAUUCUUCAAAAAGCUUAUGCUGUAUGUCCUACGCCUUUCCUAUUCUACUUACGGAAAAAACAGAACUGGCGCUGCGUUCGUUCCGUAAGUUGAAUGACAAAUGGAUGAAUUCAUGUGCUGCAGCCUGUAAAUCGACUGACAGGACUCUCUGUACUAAAGAGCAAACAAACGAGGUGGCGCCCAUCUCGCGUUAUAGAUUAAGAUCAAGAUCUAAUGUCCAUUUUCAAAUAGAGUCAUUGGGUGACAGAGUUGUUGUCAGCUCAUGUAGUGUGUAACCCCCUGUUGCGGAUCAUUUACAUAGUGUCGAGUAGUGUGAACAACACAAUGACUUCAAGACUCCACAGCAAGUCAUGUAUUCUGAACAGCACAGCGAUCUGCCGACGUUUAAAGUCCUGUAGUGUAAACUUGGCAUAACAUGGCUAACGUUAACUACAUCGAGACAGUGAUCGAAUUCAGUAGCCAGCCUGUAGAUCUCAGUACACCUUAUUGAUGAUGAUGAUGAUACUGUAUAGGCCUAUACAGGAAAGCAGAUGAUACUAGAAUAUAACCAACAUAAUAAAUUGCAUAUUCUGAGUGCAUCUGCUUGCAAACACGUAUAGCAUGCAUAUAUUAAGUCUUAUAAUAAUUUUUUCAAAAUAUAUUUUUUCUUUCAAAAAACUCAUCUUUGGUGGCCUGAGUAAAUUGUCAUUACAUAUUGAAUCAUAGGAUACACUAGAUAGUUGGUUUCGAUCCAGUUGAAUGGACAGUUACACCCCUAGAUAGUAAUAUGAUGCAGCUAAGUCAAAGUAAUUAAUAUAAUUUUACAGGUAACACAAUAAAGUUCAUUAGUUAAACAUUAGUUAAUUUAUUAACUAACAUGAACUAACCAUGAGCAAUACAUUUGUUACUGUAUUUACUAAUCUUAUAGUAAAUAUAGUUGUAGUUGUUCUGUAAAUAUAGUUGUUCAUUGUUUGUUCAUGUUAGUUCACAGUGCAUUAACUGUUAACAAGAUUUUAAUAAUGUAUUAGUAAAUGCUGAAAUUAAUAUUAACAAAGAUUAAUAAAUGCUGUAUAAAUGCAGUUCAUUAUUAGUUCAUGUUAACUAAUGUAGUUAACUAAUGUUAACAAAUGAAGAACCUUUUUGUAAAGUGUUACCAUUUCAUGUAAUACAAAUUUAGCUAAAAUCACAUGGCAGCCAAAAACAUAAAUGUGUUGGCCUUUCCUGCUCAGCUUCCAGAUCAAACUAGGUUGAGGUUUUGCAUUGUCUCAGUAAAACAUACGCUGGCAUUUUUGAUUUAAUGUAAUAGGCCUACUAAAUUUUGUUUAUUUUUGUGAUUUCAGGUCAUGUGGAAAGACUGUGGAGAUCUACAGCAGAUGAGCAUUGCAGUCCAGGUGUGAAAAGAGUGCACUAUUCUUCUCAUACAACAAAUUAUUUGUUUACAUCUUUUCAUGUAGCUGUUUUGUACAGUAUUUUUAUUGUAAUUGUAACUAGAAUCAUUCAGAAACAUGUUUUUUUUUUUUUUGAUCACUGACACACAUCUCCACCUUUCAUUCCAGCCGGAUGAUUAGCCUUUAGCUGCUCGCAUCUCAGCCUGCUACAUGGAAAUUUCUGACCUUCACCUGGAUGACCUUUACCUUCAACUCCACCUUGCCAAGACAGAAGUGCUUGUGGUUUCAGCCAGCCCCUCCUUUGUGUUAUAAUUGAUCAGUUAAACUUCACACACCACAUUGCUAGAACUGCCCGAUCUUGCAGAUUUGCCUUGUACAACAUUAGGAAGAUCAGGCCAUUCCUAUCGGAACAUGCUACACAACUUGUCAUCCAAGCUCUUGUUCAAUCCAGACUGGCCUAUUGUAAUGAUGGAGCCAGACCUCAUUCAGAUGUUCCACACACCUCUGCAAGAAUCGGUCUCCCUGGAGCAGCUGCAGAGGGAGUCCAAUUGUGACCCCACACUGACAACACUCCGCACAUAUAUAUGCUCGGGAUGGCCAGCACGGGUGCCUGAGGAGCUAAAACCUUUUGCUAAGGUAGAAAAUGAACUGUCAUGUUGGGGCGAGGUUUGUGUCUCUAGAGGCCUUUGUACAGUGGUGCCGGGCAGCCUGCGUGCACGCGUCUUAUCAAUGGCACAUGAGGGGCACUUGGGUAUUGUAAAGCUCAAGCAAAGAUGCCGGGACCUGGUCUGGUGGCCAGGCAUUGAUCGCGACAUUGAAGGACUGGUCCGAUACUGUGAACCGUGUCUACUCAGUGGAAAGACUGGACAACCGGUCUCGCCCCCUUUGUAGCCUGUUCCAUGGCCAUCUCAUCCAUGGAAGCACCUUCAACUGGACAUUUGUGGGGAAAUUCAUGGCCAUGGCAUUCCCCACCAUCAGCGCUUUCUGGUGGUCGUGUAUGAUCUCCAUUUUAAAUGGGCCGAGGUAAUACCAGCCGGGACAGUGACAACACAGACCAUCACUCAGAUACUGGAGAGUCUGUUUGCUCGCUGGGGCAUGCCCCAUGCCAUCACUACUGAUAAUGGGCCGCAGUUUACCUCUGCAGACUUCUCCACCUUCUUGUGCAGUAAAAGAAUUAAGCAUUUCCGUGCCGCACUCUACCAUCCCCAGGCAAAUGGUGGGGUCGAAAGGUUCAAUCAAAGCGGCAUUCUUAAGAACAGCAUUCGUGCACACCAGGCCCAGGGGUAUACAUUCCAAACAGCACUCAACUUAACGCUGAUGCAUUACAGAGCUAGCCAGCACACCACCACUCAGGACUCUCCAGCUCUGCUCUUGCUUUGCCGAGAGAUGGAAUUGCCAUUGAACAGACUCAGACCACAACCUGGGCAGCAGCCAAAGCUGCCGUAAGUUCAAACCAGAGGCGAAUGAAGGACAACUUUGACAGAAGAUACAAGGCCAAAUCUAGUAAGAUAACAGUUCUAGACUGGGUUCGGGUCCAGAGACAAACAAAAUGGCAUCGUUUUGGUCUAAACCCCUCCAGGUGGAUUGUCAGUUAGUGCCUGCCACAUUCUUGUUGAGCAAUGGCUCUCGCUGGCAUGCUAGCAGACUGCAGAAAGUGCCAACCACUUUCAACUCAAACGUGCUCACAGGCAAGGGAGCCUAGUGGAGGACCAACACACAGCACGUCUUUUGCACCACCAUCACCGAGGCCAGUUCCACCAUGGACAGGCCGGGUGCUUCAAGGAUCCUCUGUCAGGGUGGUCCCGCAACAAUCUCCACCAGCUGUGGGGCCUCAACCUCUUCAGCCACUGCUUGAUGAGAAUCAGGAGGGCCAGGAUGAGCUUCUCAUUCAAUGAGCUUCUCAUUCAACUUGUCUCAGCACUGAAGAGUGACGGACAAUGUGAGCUUCACUGACUUCACUCCUAUUGGUUGUCACUCCCAAAAAUUGCUCUUUAUUUGCAUAAAGUUGAACAGAUCUCAUUUUUGUCGGGUCUUUGGACAUGCCCCAUCCGGACGCCAAGGGUCACUUGUGUCGCACUUGCGUAUUAUUACUGUAACUGCAAGAUGUUGUAAUCAAGUAGAUUGUGAAGGCAUUUGGAUAGUAUUAUAAUACAAUUCUCAUAAUUUUGA